AUUUAAAUAGUUUAAUUUAAAAUAUUAAUUUGUGGAAUUAAAGAUUAUUUUAAUAUUUAAAUA
rnacentral:tRNA from 1 species